AGAGUUUGAUCAUGGCUCAGAACGAACGCUGGCGGCAGGCCUAACACAUGCAAGUCGAACGGAUGUAGCAAUACAUUAGUGGCGCACGGGAGAGUAACGCGUGGGAACCUACCUUUUGGUUCGGGAUAACGUCGGGAAACUGACGCUAAUACCGGAUAAGCCCCUCGGGGGAAAGAUUUAUCGCCAAUUGAUGGGCCCGCGUUAGAUUAGCUAGUUGGUGAGGUAAUGGCUCACCAAGGCUACGAUCUAUAGCUGGUCUGAGAGGAUGAUCAGCCUCACUGGGACUGAGACACGGCCCAGACUCCUACGGGAGGCAGCAGUGGGGAAUAUUGGACAAUGGGGGCAACCCUGAUCCAGCCAUGCCGCGUGAAUGAUGAAGGCCUUCGGGUUGUAAAGUUCUUUUGGUGGGGACGAUGAUGACGGUACCCACAGAAUAAGCUCCGGCUAACUUCGUGCCAGCAGCCGCGGUAAUACGAAGGGGGCUAGCGUUGUUCGGAAUUACUGGGCGUAAAGGGCGCGUAGGCGGUUUGAUAAGUUGGGUGUGAAAGCCCAGGGCUCAACCCUGGAACUGCACUCAAGACUGUUUUACUUGAAUUCGGUAGAGGAUGGUGGAAUUCCCAGUGUAGAGGUGAAAUUCGUAGAUAUUGGGGAAGAAUAUCCGUGGCGAAGGCGGCCAUCUGGACCGACAUUGACGCUGAGGCGCGAAAGCGUGGGGAUCAAACAGGAUUAGAUACCCUAGUAGUCC
rnacentral:rRNA from 1 species